CAGUCGCCGCGGUAAUACGGAGGGUGCAAGCGUUACUCGGAAUUACUGGGCGUAAAGCGUGCGUAGGUGGUGGUUUAAGUCCGUUGUGAAAGCCCUGGGCUCAACCUGGGAAUUGCAGUGGAUACUGGGUCACUAGAGUGUGGUAGAGGAUAGUGGAAUUUCCGGUGUAGCAGUGAAAUGCGUAGAGAUCGGAAGGAACAUCUGUGGCGAAGGCGACUAUCUGGGCCAACACUGACACUGAGGCACGAAAGCGUGGGGAGCAAACAGGAUUAGAUACCCGUGUAGUCCCUGUCUCUUAUAC
rnacentral:rRNA from 1 species